UACGUAGGGUGCGAGCGUUAAUCGGAAUUACUGGGCGUAAAGCGUGCGCAGGCGGCGCGUUAAGACAGGUGUGAAAGCCCCGAGCUUCACUUGGGAAUUGCGCUUGUGACUGGCGUGCUGGAGUGUGGCAGAGGGAGGUGGAAUUCCACGUGUAGCAGUGAAAUGCGUAGAGAUGUGGAGGAACACCGAUGGCGAAGGCAGCCUCCUGGGCCAGCACUGACGCUCAUGCACGAAAGCGUGGGGAGCAAACAGG
rnacentral:rRNA from 1 species